UACGGAGGGUGCAAGCGUUAAUCGGAAUUACUGGGCGUAAAGCGUGCGUAGGCGGUUCGUUAAGUCUGUUGUGAAAGCCCCGGGCUCAACCUGGGAAUGGCAAUGGAUACUGGCGAGCUAGAGUGUGUCAGAGGAUGGUGGAAUUCCCGGUGUAGCGGUGAAAUGCGUAGAGAUCGGGAGGAACAUCAGUGGCGAAGGCGGCCAUAUGGGG
rnacentral:rRNA from 1 species